rnacentral:lncRNA from 1 species
AUGACAAAUCUUCAGAUAGGACCAGUUGUCAAACAGGAAGCGAGUGUCAUUAAAACCGAACCAGUCCGAGGCACAUUUGAUAAUGGUCGCCCUUCGAGUGAAGUGCAAAGUUACACAGACAGCUGCCUCGCCAAGCUAUCAGAACUCGAAACCAGGUCUGUUUAUGGGGUAGCCAGUGACCCAUUGAUGUCGGAAUCAAGGGAUAGGCCAGAGGAGCAGAGUCUGGGUGUCUCUGAAAUGCGAGAGCGCCAGACAUCAGAUAAACACACAUCCGAGACAUCUCAGGACACUGACUUCAAAAAAGAUGAGCACUGGACCACCGCACCUGAGACAAACAGCUCUCAAAGUGUCUUACCAAAUGAUAGUGAACCAAUACUUCCAAACAUAAGUGAAACAAACCCAGCAAUACAAGAUAAAGAUACACUUAACAACAGUCAAAUAGAGCGUGAACACUUAGACGCAGCACAUUCAAGCUUACAACCAAACUCUCAAGAGAAAGCCAUCCCCCAGGUUGUCUUAAUGCCAGAUACAACCACUAAAAAAUCCAAUGAUCAGAUCUCACAUCUGCAAGGAUACUCUUCAUCAAGGAAUAGGAGCCAAAUGCACCAGGAUUCCUUAGAAGAUACAGGCAAGAAUGUCGAGGGAACUGAGGAAAAAUCCAUCCCAGAAACUGAGGAAUUAAAUGCUAUCGCCAGCCAUUCUUAUUCAUUCUGUGAAAACACUAUGGACAUCAUUGUUCAUUCAUCAAAAGAUACAAGUGCGAAUCAACCAGAAAGCGCCACAUCUGCACAGAUGUCAAGUGACCCACAGAAUGCAGGUCCAGUCCCAAGUUCCCUGAUACCAAACUUGCCAAAAGAUGCAUUAAGCACUGAAAUCCUCAUAACACAAAGUGAACAUCUAAAUGAUGAAGAAAAACUAUUUUCUGACAGACCUUCCCACCAUGAUGACAGCAAGAGGACCAGAUCAUUGUUUGACCCAAGCACAUCUCAGCAAAAAACAGCAAACAAACCAUUGACAUACUCAGUCACAAGUGUUCCAGCUGUUCUUCCAGAUGAAAACAGACACAAAUACUCUGAUUCUGGACUGCCUUCUGGAUUCCAGGAGUUUCUCACCUCAUUAAAUUGCCCUUUAUUUUCCAAACAAAAAUUGAAAAACAGAGGUAAGUUUUUUUGGCUUGUAGAUUAUAUUCUAGUGUUCAAAUUGUUAACAAAAUAG